rnacentral:rRNA from 1 species
UAUGUGAUCGUCUCUCGCAUAUCAAUAAGCGGAGGAAAAGAAACUAACAAGGAUUCCCCUAGUAACGGCGAGUGAAGCGGGAAGAGCUCAAAUUUGAAAUCUUAAAGGGUUUCCCUUUACGAAUUGUAGUUUAAAGAAGUGUUUUCUGUUGAGGUUUUGGUAAAAGUUCUUUGGAAUAGGACAUCAUAGAGGGUGAGAAUCCCGUAUUUGACCUUUACUUUCAACUUUGUGAUACACUUUCAAAGAGUCGGAUUGUUUGGGAAUGCAGUCCAAAAUGGGUGAUAAAUUUCAUCUAAAGCUAAAUAUUGGCGAGAGACCGAUAGCGAACAAGUACCGUGAGGGAAAGAUGAAAGGAACUUUGAAAAGAGAGUUAAACAGUACGUGAAAUUGUCAAAAGGGAAGCGUUUGACACCAGUGUUGUUUUUCUGAAAAUCAAUUAAAGAACUGUUUAUGCUAAGCUGUUUAGACUUUAUCAGCUAUCUGUUUAGUUUUGAGCUUUUCUUUAAGUGCACUUUUCAGUUAACAAGUCAACAUCAAUUUCUUUUGCUGUAAAAAAGCUUGAGGAAGGUGGCUUGAGAUUCGUCUUAAGUGUUUAUAGCCUCUUGCCUAUGCAGUCGGAGAGAUUGAGGUCUGUAGCGUAGAUCCUUCGGGGCUAAAUGCAUUUGUGCUAAGUUAUAGCAUUUUAUAGACAACUUGUUGACUAUGAUUUGUCUUGUAGCUUACUCGCUUAUGUUAUUUUACCUACGCUUAGGAUGUUGAUAUGCAUGACUGAUAU